AUUACAUAUAAUGCCACCAUAAAGUACUUUAUGGGCUGUGCAGUCUGAUCAGUCUACACCACUUGGUCCUUGGGUAGGUAAGCAAGUGGCUUCUAUGAAUUGUAUCAAGUCAGAAAAGGCCCCUUCCUGCUUCCUAAGUUUCGGCCGGGCCUUGAUCUUCUAUUCCUCCAGGCCUCUUGUUGGGCUGACUCCAUCCUUCAGCCCAAAGUCCAGUUUUAACCCAAACAGGUGACGUCAAGGUUUACUUCCUAUGCUUUCCUGAGUCUCAAGGGCUUACGAGUGUCAAGGCUUUGUGUCUGCCCACUUUUCAAAAUCUGAUCCAAUUGGAGCUUGUUCUUAGUGCUCGCAAUUAUUGGGAGUUUCUAACAGGGUUCUUCGUGCUCACGGUUAUUUUGUUUGAUCAAUGAUGAUCGUUCUAGUCAGAAUAAAACGAAGACUGAACAAAAUUUCACUCAUUAACUCACAAAUUAACAUACUGUCAACCA